rnacentral:tRNA from 1 species
UAGCUCAGUUGGUAGAGCAUGGUGUUUGCAACACCAGGGUUGUGGGUUCUAUUCCCAC